GGCGGGGUAGCUCAGUUGGUUAGAGCGCAGGACUCAUAAGCCUGAGGUCAGUGGUUCGAUUCCACUUCCCGCUACCA
rnacentral:tRNA from 4 species